GAUGAACGCUGGCGGCGUGCCUAAUACAUGCAAGUCGAGCGAACGGACGAGAAGCUUGCUUCUCUGAUGUUAGCGGCGGACGGGAGAGUAACACGUGGAUAACCUACCUAUAAGACUGGGAUAACUUCGGGAAACCGGAGCUAAUACCGAAUAAUAUUUUGAACCGCAUGGUUCAAAAGUGAAAGACGGUCUUGCUGUCACUUAUAGAUGGAUCCGCGCUGCAUUAGCUAGUUGGUAAGGUAACGGCUUACCAAGGCAACGAUGCAUAGCCGACCUGAGCGGGUGAACGGCCACCCUGUAACUGAGGCACGGUCCACACUCCUACGGUAGGCAGCAGUAGGGAAUCUUCCGCAAUGGGCGAAAGCCUGACGGAGCAACGCCGCGUGAGUGAUGAAGGUCUUCUGAUCGUAAAACUCUGUUAUUAGGGAAGAACAUAUGUGUAAGUAACUGUGCACAUCUUGACGGUACCUAAUCAGAAAGCCACGGCUAACUACGUG
rnacentral:rRNA from 1 species